rnacentral:sRNA from 1 species
AGGAGAUCUGUGGGGCUGUGGUGUCUGUCCGCUUUCAGGAGGACAUUAUUUCAAUAUGGAAUAAGACUGCCAGUGACCAAGCAACCACAGCCCGAAUCCGGGACACACUUCGGCGAGUGCUUAACCUACCUCCCAACACCAUUAUGGAAUACAAAACUCACACCGACAGCAUCAAAGCCAGGUCAUCUUCCUCUUUGAGUCAGCCCUGCUUGCAAGAUCGCAGGGUUACAGCCCUUCCCUUUCUCCUGGGCCCGGUGUUACUGCACAU